CCUUGUACACACUGCCCGUCACACCACGAGAGCUGUUUGUACCCAAAGUUACCUUAGCCAACCUGUAAAGGGGGCGGGUACCUAAGGUAUGGGGAGUGAUUGGGGUG
rnacentral:rRNA from 1 species